GUGACUCCUCACUAGGACUAUCCUGGCCAAGGUUUUACUAAAUUAAAACACGACUGCAUAUAGCUCCUGAACUAGAGUGGUCAAUCCCAUCUUGACACACGCACCGACAAGUCAAGUACUUACUACAUCCAGCAGCCUUCCGUCACUAAAUUAAAAAUUCAGGUAGUCCAGUGUCUAAGUGCAGUGAGUUGCUUGCAAGUCACCGUGGCGGUCU
rnacentral:lncRNA from 1 species